rnacentral:sRNA from 1 species
CCCGAAGGUUUGUGUCGAGCGCAGUGAGACAACGCCAGUCAUGGCGGCCCACAGGGCAAGGCGCGCAGCGACGCUGUCAUCCUUCCCCCACCACCA